UAAUACGUAGGGUCCGAGCGUUGUCCGGAGUUACUGGGCGUAAAGCGUACGCAGGCGGCGGCAUUGGCCCGGCGUGAAAGCCCCCGGCUCAACCGGGGAGGGUCGUCGGGGACCGUGCCGCUUGAGGGCAGCAGGGGUUGGUGGAAUGCCCGGUGUAGUGGUGAAAUGCGUAGAGAUCGGGCGGAACACCCGUGGCGAAGGCGGCCAACUGGGCUGACCCUGACGCUGAGGUACGAAGGCGUGGGGAGCGAACGGGAUUAGAUACCCCGGUAGUCCACGCAGUAAACGAUGCAGACUAGGCGUGGGGGGACUUGACCCCCUCCGUGCCGGAGCUAACGCGGGAAGUCUGCCGCCUGGGGAGUACGGCCGCAAGGCUA
rnacentral:rRNA from 1 species